rnacentral:tRNA from 1 species
GCACCUGUGGCGUAAUUGGUAGCCGCGCUAGACUUAGGAUCUAGUGGCGUAAGUCGUGUAGGUUCGAGUCCUAUCAGGUGCA